AAGUCGUAACAAGGUUUCCGUAGGUGAACCUGCGGAAGGAUCAUUACCAAAUCCAAAUUACCAUAACCCCAUGUGAACGAUUAUAAAAGUCUGUCUUUGGGAGGAUAAACCGACAUAAUGUUAGAUUAUUCUCUCAUUUUGUAGUCUUUAUCCUCCCAAAAGAGUCCGGCACAUUUUUUUUAUGUAGACGGGUGUAGAAUUAAUUUCUUACCCCUUUUAUAUAAACUAUAUGUGUUUAAGAUUCUAUAAACCUUUAAACCACUUGAUUCUUUGUUGGAAUUUACUUUUAUUAAUUUUUAAAUAAAAGACAACUUUUAACGGCGGAUCUCUUGGCUCGUG
rnacentral:misc_RNA from 1 species